AAAUCAAUAAAAUGUUAACACAAUGUUUAUAACCACAAAAGGAAGCUUGUGAUUGAUUUUGGGGGUUAUGGUCCCUAAGGUUUAGGAAUUAGGGGCCCAAAGGACCCAAAAAUAGCAUUUAUCUAGUGUCAGAACAAUAAGUUGUGUAUAAGUAUUUCAAUUGUUCUGAAAUUGUACCACAAUGUUUAAUACCAUAAGAAGAAGGUUGAGAUAUAUUUUAAAGGUUAUGGG
rnacentral:lncRNA from 1 species